AUUGAACGCUGGCGGCAUGCCUUACACAUGCAAGUCGAACGGUAACAGGUCUUCGGAUGCUGACGAGUGGCGAACGGGUGAGUAAUACAUCGGAACGUGCCUAGUAGUGGGGGAUAACUGCUCGGAAGAGUGGCUAAUACCGCAUGAGAUCUACGGAUGAAAGCAGGGGAUCGCAAGACCUUGUGCUACUAGAGCGGCCGAUGGCAGAUUAGGUAGUUGGUGGGAUAAAAGCUUACCAAGCCGACGAUCUGUAGCUGGUCUGAGAGGACGAUCAGCCACACUGGGACUGAGACACGGCCCAGACUCCUACGGGAGGCAGCAGUGGGGAAUUUUGGACAAUGGGCGCAAGCCUGAUCCAGCAAUGCCGCGUGCAGGAUGAAGGCCUUCGGGUUGUAAACUGCUUUUGUACGGAACGAAAAGCCCUGGGUUAAUACCCUGGGGUCAUGACGGUACCGUAAGAAUAAGCACCGGCUAACUACGUGCCAGCCGCCGCGGUAACAC
rnacentral:rRNA from 1 species